rnacentral:rRNA from 1 species
UACGUAGGGUGCGAGCGUUGUCCGGAAUUACUGGGCGUAAAGAGCUCGUAGGUGGUUUGUCGCGUUGUCCGUGAAAACUCACAACUCAAUUGUGGGCGUGCGGGCGAUACGGGCAGACUGGAGUACUGCAGGGGAGACUGGAAUUCCUGGUGUAGCGGUGGAAUGCGCAGAUAUCAGGAGGAACACCGGUGGCGAAGGCGGCUAUCUGGACCGACAUUGACGCUGAGGCGCGAAAGCGUGGGGAGCAAACAGG